UGACAACAUUUCCCCAAUCUUUUCUCUAUCAAACAUUUUUGCCUAAUUCUACCUUUUUCAUCAGCCUAAUUGUAUUGUGGAAUAUUGAAUCCAUAAUCCCAGC